rnacentral:rRNA from 1 species
AGGUAGAAAUACCCGCUGAACUU